GAUGAACGCUGGCGGCGUGCCUAAUACAUGCAAGUCGAGCGAACGGACGAGAAGCUUGCUUCUCUGAUGUUAGCGGCGGACGGGUGAGUAACACGUGGAUAACCUACCUAUAAGACUGGGAUAACUUCGGGAAACCGGAGCUAAUACCGGAUAAUAUUUUGAACCGCAUGGUUCAGAAGUGAAAGACGGUCUUGCUGUCACUUAUAGAUGGAUCCGCGCUGCAUUAGCUAGUUGGUAAGGUAACGGCUUACCAAGGCAACGAUGCAUAGCCGACCUGAGAGGGUGAUCGGCCACACUGGAACUGAGACACGGUCCAGACUCCUACGGGAGGCAGCAGUAGGGAAUCUUCCGCAAUGGGCGAAAGCCUGACGGAGCAACGCCGCGUGAGUGAUGAAGGUCUUCGGAUCGUAAAACUCUGUUAUUAGGGAAGAACAUAUGUGUAAGUAACUGUGCACAUCUUGACGGUACCUAAUCAGAAAGCCACGGCUAACUACGUGCCAGCAGCCGCGGUAAUACGUAGGUGGCAAGCGUUAUCCGGAAUUAUUGGGCGUAAAGCGCGCGUAGGCGGUUUUUUAAGUCUGAUGUGAAAGCCCACGGCUCAACCGUGGAGGGUCAUUGGAAACUGGAAAACUUGAGUGCAGAAGAGGAAAGUGGAAUUCCAUGUGUAGCGGUGAAAUGCGCAGAGAUAUGGAGGAACACCAGUGGCGAAGGCGACUUUCUGGUCUGUAACUGACGCUGAUGUGCGAAAGCGUGGGGAUCAAACAGGAUUAGAUACCCUGGUAGUCCACGCCGUAAACGAUGAGUGCUAAGUGUUAGGGGGUUUCCGCCCCUUAGUGCUGCAGCUAACGCAUUAAGCACUCCGCCUGGGGAGUACGACCGCAAGGUUGAAACUCAAAGGAAUUGACGGGGGCCCGCACAAGCGGUGGAGCAUGUGGUUUAAUUCGAAGCAACGCGAAGAACCUUACCAAAUCUUGACAUCCUUUGACAACUCUAGAGAUAGAGCCUUCCCCUUCGGGGGACAAAGUGACAGGUGGUGCAUGGUUGUCGUCAGCUCGUGUCGUGAGAUGUUGGGUUAAGUCCCGCAACGAGCGCAACCCUUAAGCUUAGUUGCCAUCAUUAAGUUGGGCACUCUAAGUUGACUGCCGGUGACAAACCGGAGGAAGGUGGGGAUGACGUCAAAUCAUCAUGCCCCUUAUGAUUUGGGCUACACACGUGCUACAAUGGACAAUACAAAGGGCAGCGAAACCGCGAGGCCAAGCAAAUCCCAUAAAGUUGUUCUCAGUUCGGAUUGUAGUCUGCAACUCGACUACAUGAAGCUGGAAUCGCUAGUAAUCGUAGAUCAGCAUGCUACGGUGAAUACGUUCCCGGGUCU
rnacentral:rRNA from 1 species